rnacentral:rRNA from 1 species
GAUGAACGCUGGCGGCGUGCCUAAUACAUGCAAGUCGAGCGAACAGACGAGGAGCUUGCUCCUCUUACGUUAGCGGCGGACGGGUGAGUAACACGUGGAUAACCUACCUAUAAGACUGGGAUAACUUCGGGAAACCGGAGCUAAUACCGGAUAAUAUAUUGAACCGCAUGGUUCAAUAGUGAAAGACGGUUUUGCUGUCACUUAUAGAUGGAUCCGCGCCGCAUUAGCUAGUUGGUAAGGUAACGGCUUACCAAGGCAACGAUGCGUAGCCGACCUGAGAGGGUGAUCGGCCACACUGGAACUGAGACACGGUCCAGACUCCUACGGGAGGCAGCAGUAGGGAAUCUUCCGCAAUGGGCGAAAGCCUGACGGAGCAACGCCGCGUGAGUGAUGAAGGUCUUCGGAUCGUAAAACUCUGUUAUUAGGGAAGAACAAAUGUGUAAGUAACUAUGCACGUCUUGAUGGUACCUAAUCAGAAAGCCACGGCUAACUACGUG